rnacentral:rRNA from 1 species
UAAAAUGGGCUAAAUUGGACGGGAGAUUCGAAAGAGCGAAGAAGAAGCUUUAAACUCGUGUUUCAAUGCGGAGACGCAAUGAAGAGAACUGAAAAAUGAAACAUCUUAGUAUCAGAGUGGCACAGAGAAAUCAAACGAGAUUCCGUGAGUAGCAGGGAGCGAAAGUGGAGGAGAGCAGAGAAGGAGUAAAUAGUGGAAGAGAGGAGUUCACAUAUCUAAGACUAAAUGUUGGUCCCAUAUUGAAAGCGGGAGUACUGUGAAGGAAAGUUGAAAGAGAUUUGAAAAGAUCUGGAAAUUUGUCUUUUAAAGCAGCUGUAAAACAGUGUACCUUUUGUAUAAUGGGUUUAUAAGAUAUCGUUUGGCAAAUUUAAGUAAACUUUCUUGAGGAUAAAAUGCAGGUGAAGAGAAGUCGAGAAGGCUCUUUAGUCAAAUUACCCGAAGCCAAGUGAUCUAACCAUGGGCAGUUUUAAAGAACGAACCGGUGGUUGUAGCAAAAACCUCGGAGGACCUGUGGUUAGGGGAGAAAGACCAAUCGGACUUGGGGAUAGCUGGUUUUCUGCGAAAACUAUGUAAGUAGUACGUCCACAUAGGGGAUCGUGUCAAUGAAAAGAUAGAAAAAAAUGAGUGUAAUCUUUUGGUCGUUGUUGAAAUUGGUUUUUAUUGUUAAAAAGACUAGUUUUGUCGCUUCUUCUAUUAAAAGUGUUCCUUUUAGUAAUUGAUCCUUUCGUGUUUUUAUGGCGCGUUUGUAUUUUUUCAUUAGACGCCUUAUUACCUUAAAAUUUUGGGGUAAAGACUUAUCGCUUUAAGGGGGAUAGGCUUUGAAGGUAAAAUUCGAAGUGGACAGACAGACAGGGGGCGAAUAGGUCCGUUGUCAAGGGGGGGGAGCCCAAAUCAGAAGUUAAAGUUAAAGAUUCAAUAAUUAAGUGUAAAAGGAGUAUGGGAUUUAGACAAUGAAGAGGUAGGCUUGGAGCCAGCCAUCUUUGAAAGAAUGCGUAGUAGUUCAUUCAAGAACUCUUUUUCUCCAAAAAUUAUAGUGGUUAAAAAUUGAACUGAAAUUCUGAGGGCAGUAAGAAGUUUGCUUGGUAGCAGAACAGACUGUUAGGUGGUGGUGAGAACCCAAGAAUCAGAAGAGAUAAUGUGAACAUGAGUAAAAAAAUUGUUGCUUCAUCUCCCCUGGUUUCCAAGCCUUGGGGUUUGGGUGAAACAGCCUCUAAGGAGGUUGCCGAUGGGGGAUAAUAAUUAACGCAUAAAGUGCCAGGAAAUAAUUAUAAUAAAAUAUUACUGUCGCAAACUAACACAAGUGGGAGAUAGUGAGGGGAAAAGUUUUUUUAAGGAACUCGGCUAGUUUCUAGCUCUCAUUAGAGGGUUUAAACACAAGGCUUCGACUGUUUACCAAAAACAUAGCUUUUUGCUAAUAUGAAGGUAGAAGUAUGAAAGGUGAGACCUGCCCAAUGGUUGUAUCUAAAAGGGUUGGUAGAGCCAGCUUUAUAAAGACAAUUUAAUGGCCGCGGUAACACUGACCGUGAUAAUGUAGCGUAAUCAAUAGUCAAUUAAUUGUUGGCCGGUAUGAAUGGUGUCACGAGGGUCUCACUGUCUUAAGAAAAUUUCCAGUGAAAUUGAAUUUGUAGUGAAGAUGCUACAUCCAAAUUGUUAGACAAGAAGUCCCCAUGGAACUUUACUGGAGACUUAUGAGGCUUAAAUUAAUUUAUUUCUUACAAAUAAAUAGUUUUAAAAUGUGGUGUUAACCUCUCGGGGAACCUAGGGUUAGAAAAGCUCACUCUUUUAUUUAAAGAAAGCCAACUCAAAAAAUUAUGUUUUUGGGAUUUGAUAAGUGGGACAGUUUGGUUGGGGCGACCGCCUUUAAAAAAGUAACGAAGGCGGGCUUAAGAUACAUAUUUAGUGAUGUCUGACUGCCAAGGGGGGAUCCUGAGCAGACACUUACUUUGUAGGUGGGUUUAAGUGACCCGUUAAUUUAGGGGAAGAUAGUUAACGAUAAACAAAUAAAAGUUACCCUGGGGAUAACAGCGCAAUAACGUUAGAGAGUUUUCAUUGACGACGAUGUUUGCGACCUCGAUGUUGAAUUGCGGCAUCCUGGGGUGCAGUCGCUCCCAAGGGUUGGUCUGUUCGUCCAUUAAAGCCGUACAUGAUUUGAGUUAAAAGCGUGGUGACACAGCUUGGUUUCUAUCUACAAUUUGAAGAAACAUUGAUAUAACUAUUUUCUAGUACGAAAGGAUCGAAAACUUAGUGGUUCUCUUAUUUUUAUAAGUUACAAUCAAUUGAUUGACUCGGAAACUUUUUGAAGGGGUCUUUUGGUUAAUUGCUGAUUGCUUCUAAAGCAUGAAAAUUAUAUUAAGUUGUUUGAAGUU